rnacentral:lncRNA from 1 species
GUUUACCAUGGCACCCUCACAUCCCAUGAGACCCCUCAGUGUCUCCGUAUUUUCAGGCCACAACAGAGCCACAGAGAAGCUGGGAGAGACACAGAGAUCGUCCAGUGUCCACUGCCCCAGCUGCCCGGCCGCCCAGAGCUCCAGAGCUGCCAGGACAUUUCAUCAAUGGAUGAAGGCCCCCAGGGCAGGGGGAGCUGCCCUCAUGGGCGGGGCCAGGGUCCCCACACCCUGCACCCCAGAGGAGCUGAUGUCAGGGGACAAUGGCUGCCUCCCUCUGUCCCUGUGUCCCUCAGCCAGAGUGCCAAGGGCUGGGCCCACCCAGGGCAGGAAGUAGUGAGAGGGAGGUGGGGAUGGAGGGCGGGGCCCGCGUCUCCCACCAGUCACUGGGCAUGGCUGCUGUCCUGGCCUCCCUGAGACCCUCAGGGUGGGGCCAUGGCCCAGAAUCCCAAGCAAGGGGCAGGGGCAACCAAGGGGCCCAGUGUUGGAGGUGGAGAGAAUGCUGUGCACGGUGUCCCACAAGGCAUUUGGACGUCAGGAGCUAUGCUGGGCUGCCGCUGCUCUCAGUGGACAUGGAUGAGGAAUGUGGCGUCUCUGGGGUGGUCCAAGCGUCAUCCUCACAGCCUGUGUGCAUCAGCACGGGGCUGGAUUGGAAGUGGAGUAACUGGGACACGAACCGGCGCCCACACGGGAGUUACCCACUACACCACCAUGCAGGUUCCCGAAGCGGUCUCACUGUACCUUCCCACCCGGAGUCUACCUGGAGCACCUCCUUGCUGGCAGGUCCCCAGGACUUCCUAAGGCACACGGAGUGGCCUCUCUGUGAGCCCAGCUGAUGGGAGCAGCCAGAGGAGGGCUCCUUUGGGCCCGAAGAGAUGUGGAGGGAUUGCUGCCUCCUGGACAGCUUCAGCCAGGCCGGGCCCAGCCCAAGGCUCCAGGCCUCUGCAUCCCUCAGCAGCCUCGUCUGAGUCUUGCAGGUCCCCGUGGUCCUGCUCAGCUGCAGAUCUCCACCCAGGGUCACAAGUAGCCCCCUUCCCCACAGCAAAAUAAUCAGAGUCCAAGCGUUGUCCCCGUCUGUGGACGGCACGUGCACGGACACCCACCUGCACACACAUGCACAGAUGUCACACACACAUAUGCAGACACAACUGUAUACACACACAUGCUCACACACAUGUUGACGCACACACACAUGCACCGGGUUCUACCUUGCACUCUCCUGAUUUAUAGGUGAAGAAUUUUUAUGUACUCUUCUGCCAUUUUCUUUCCCAUGGACACUUUAUUCUUUUUCACAAGCAGCUCCUGGUGGCUGGGAGCCUCCAACACUGGGCCCCUCUGUCAUCCCCGCCCCUUGCUUGGGAUUCUGGGCCAUGGCCCCACCCUGAGGGUCCCAGGGAGGCCAGGACAGCAGCCAUGCCCAGUGACUGGUGCGAGACGUGGGCCCCACCCUCCUCCAUCCCCACCUCCCUCUCACUACUUCCUGCCCUGGGUGGGCCCAGCCCUUGGUACUCUGGCUGAGGGACACAGGGACAGAGGGAGGCAGCCAUUGUCCCCUGACAUCAGCUCCUCUGGGGUGCAGGGCAUGGGGACCCUGGCCCCGCCCAUGAGGGCAGCUCCCCCUGCCCUGGGGCCUUCAUCCAUUGAUGAAAUGUCCUGGCAGCUCUGGAGCUCUGGGCGGCCGGGCGGCUGGGGCAGUGGACACUGGUUGAUCUCUGUGUCUCUCCUGGUCUCUCUGUAGCUCUGUUGUUAUUAAGGGGGAAAGGGUGCAGAACUCCUCUUUGUGGGUUUCUGGGUGUUUAUGUGUGCGUGUGAGCUAGGGGGUUCCCCAGGUGAGACAUCAGCUCCCUAGCUGUCAUGAAAACAUGAUGCUCCCCCCCCUCCCCGCUACUAGAAUGGCUCACGGGACAGGGACUGAGGAUUUAGAUGCUGGCAAGAGCGUGGAGAGAACCUGAUAGUGUGUCCUUCCGGCCACUGUGUGUGGGCCUUCUUUUCUGGUUUGGGGGUGCUGCCCUGAGCACAGAGAAUGGGACAAUAAUACUCACCUCAGCCAGAGGAACUGUGAAGCUCAGAAAUAAGUCCCUUUUAAAAUAUCAAUUAACUAAUUAAGGUUUCAGGUAUUCUGUAAUAGCAACAGAUCUGAGUGGCCUAAACAAUUUCUGGGGGUUGGGAAGGAAUCCCAGCCCAGCCUGGGAAGUUAGUGCUGGAGGAAGGUAUCUCUGGCACCACAUGCAUUGAAGAAGAGAUGGUAUCCUGUUACAAAACCAGGAGUGUCAGUGACAACCAUGUGUCUGAGGAUACAGACAAUACAGAAAAAUAUCCUGGGCAUGAAAUGGUUCUCGUUCCACAUUACAAGGGAUGCUCUGGAGUCCCGGGGGGAGGUACUACAACCAAGGUCUAAUACUGAGUCCUCUACUCUCCCUUGUAGUCCCAGGUGGGUCACUGGGCCUCUCUGAACUUCAGUUUCUUCAUCCACCAAUUUAGUACAAUGGUAAUACCUUCCCUACUGAUUCUGCCAUGGUGUUGAUAAGAUCAAAUGAGAUGUAUAUGAAAGUGAAUAAUAAAACAUAAUUUGUGUUUAAUAUUCUCA